CCUACGGGUGGCAGCAGUGGGGAAUCUUGCGCAAUGGGCGAAAGCCUGACGCAGCGACGCCGCGUGGGUGACGAAGGCCUUCGGGUUGUAAAGCCCUGUGGGGAGAGACGAACCGGCCCGUUGCUAACAUCGGCGGGUCUUGACGGUAUCUCCUUAGCAAGCAUCGGCUAACUCUGUGCCAGCAGCCGCGGUAAUACAGAGGAUGCAAACGUUGCUCGGAAUUACUGGGCGUAAAGCGCGCGCAGGUGGUCUUGCAAGUCGGGCGUGAAAUCCCGGGGCUCAACCUCGGAAGUGCGCUCGAUACUGCUCGACUCGAGUACUGGAGAGGGUCGCGGAAUUCCCGGUGUAGAGGUGAAAUUCGUAGAUAUCGGGAGGAACACCAGUGGCGAAGGCGGCGACCUGGACAGAUACUGACACUGAGGCGCGAAAGCGUGGGAAGCAAACAGGAUUAGAUACCCUAGUAGUC
rnacentral:rRNA from 1 species